rnacentral:rRNA from 1 species
GCCCUUUAAACCCAAUGAUUCCGGAUAACGCUCGGACCCUCGGUAUUAUCGCGGCUGCUGGCACGGAGUUAGCCGGUCGUUAUUCUUACAGUACCGUCAAGCUGGUAUACAUACCAGUGUUUCUUCCUGUAUAAAAGUAGUUUACAACCCAUAGGGCAUUCUUCCUACACGCGGCAUGGUUGGAUCAGAGUCUCCUCCAUUGUCCAAUAUUCCUCACUGCUGCCUCCGGUAGGAGUGUGGUCCGUGUCUCAGUACCAGUGUGGGGGAUCUCCCUCUCAGGACCCCUACCUAUCGCUGUCUUGGUAAGCGGUUACCUUACCAAAUAACUAAUAGGACGCAUAGCCAUCUUUUACCGAUAAAUCUUUAAUUAUAAACUGAUGCCAGUGUACAAUGCCAUAAGGCAUUAAUCUUCAUUUCUAAAGACUAUUCCUCUGUAAAAGGUAUGGUUGUAUACGCGUUACGCACCCGUGCGCCGGUCGUCAUGUGUGCAAGCACAAGGUUACCCCUCGACUUCCAUGUAUUAAGCGGGCCGGGAGCGAUCAUCGGACCCAGGG